UACAGAGGGUGCAAGCGUUAAUCGGAAUUACCGGGCGUAAAGCGUGCGUAGACGGUUAUUUAAGUCAGGUGUGAAAGCCCCGGGCUCAACCUGGGAAUUGCAUUUGAGACUGAAUAGCUAGGGUGCGGAAGAGGGAAGCGGAAUUUCCGGUGUAGCGGUGAAAUGCGUAGAUAUCGGAAGGAACACCAGUGGCGAAAGCGGCUUCCUGGUCCAGCACCGACGUUCAGGCACGAAAGCGUGGGGAGCAAACAGG
rnacentral:rRNA from 1 species